rnacentral:rRNA from 1 species
GAUGAACGCUGGCGGCGUGCCUAAUACAUGCAAGUCGAGCGAACGGACGAGAAGCUUGCUUCUCUGAUGUUAGCGGCGGACGGGUGAGUAACACGUGGAUAACCUACCUAUAAGACUGGGAUAACUUCGGGAAACCGGAGCUAAUACCGGAUAAUAUUUUGAACCGCAUGGUUCAAAAGUGAAAGACGGUCUUGCUGUCACUUAUAGAUGGAUCCGCGCUGCAUUAGCUAGUUGGUAAGGUAACGGCUUACCAAGGCAACGAUGCAUAGCCGACCUGAGAGGGUGAUCGGCCACACUGGAACUGAGACACGGUCCAGACUCCUACGGGAGGCAGCAGUAGGGAAUCUUCCGCAAUGGGCGAAAGCCUGACGGAGCAACGCCGCGUGAGUGAUGAAGGUCUUCGGAUCGUAAAGCUCUGUUAUUAGGGAAGAACAGAUGUGUAAGUAACUGUGCACAUCUUGACGGUACCUAAUCAGAAAGCCCCGGCUAACUACGUG